rnacentral:rRNA from 2 species
ACGGGUGAGUAAUACAUCGGAACGUGCCCAGUAGUGGGGGAUAGCCCGGCGAAAGCCGGAUUAAUACCGCAUACGACCUACGGGUGAAAGCGGGGGAUCGCAAGACCUCGCGCUAUUGGAGCGGCCGAUGUCAGAUUAGCUAGUUGGUGGGGUAAAAGCCUACCAAGGCGACGAUCUGUAGCUGGUCUGAGAGGACGACCAGCCACACUGGGACUGAGACACGGCCCAGACUCCUACGGGAGGCAGCAGUGGGGAAUUUUGGACAAUGGGCGCAAGCCUGAUCCAGCCAUGCCGCGUGUGGGAAGAAGGCCUUCGGGUUGUAAACCACUUUUGUCAGGGAAGAAACGGCUUGAUCUAAUAAAUCGAGCUAAUGACGGUACCUGAAGAAUAAGCACCGGCUAACUACGUGCCAGCAGCCGCGGUAAUACGUAGGGUGCAAGCGUUAAUCGGAAUUACUGGGCGUAAAGCGUGCGCAGGCGGCUAUGCAAGACAGAUGUGAAAUCCCCGGGCUCAACCUGGGAACUGCAUUUGUGACUGCAUGGCUAGAGUACGGUAGAGGGGGAUGGAAUUCCGCGUGUAGCAGUG